rnacentral:rRNA from 1 species
GAUGAACGCUGGCGGCGUGCUUAACACAUGCAAGUCGAACGGUGAAGCAGGAGCUUGCUCUUGUGGAUCAGUGGCGAACGGGUGAGUAACACGUGAGCAACCUGCCCCUGACUCUGGGAUAAGCGCUGGAAACGGCGUCUAAUACUGGAUAUGUGAUGUGACCGCAUGGUCUGCAUCUGGAAAGAAUUUCGGUCGGGGAGGGGCUCGCGGCCUAUCAGCUUGUUGGUGAGGUAAUGGCUCACCAAGGCGUCGACGGGUAGCCGGCCGGAGAGGGUGACCGGCCACACUGGGACUGAGACACGGCCCAGACUCCUACGGGAGGCAGCAGUGGGGAAUAUUGCACAAUGGGCGGAAGCCUGAUGCAGCAACGCCGCGUGAGGGAUGGCGGCCUUCGGGUUGUAAACCUCUUUUAGCAGGGAAGAAGCGAAAGUGACGGUACCUGCAGAAAAAGCACCGGCUAACUACGUGCCAGCAGCCGCCGUAA